rnacentral:rRNA from 1 species
UACGUAGGUGACAAGCGUUGUCCGGAUUUACUGGGCGUAAAGCGUGCGCAGGCGGUUCGUUGUGUCGGCGGUGAAAUCCCCGGGCUCAACCUGGGAAUGGCCGUUGAAACUGGCGAACUGGAGUGUGGCAGAGGGGGGUGGAAUUCCGCGUGUAGCAGUGAAAUGCGUAGAGAUGCGGAGGAACACCGAUGGCGAAGGCAGCCCCCUGGGCUGACACUGACGCUCAGGCACGAAAGCGUGGGGAGCAAACAGG